rnacentral:sRNA from 1 species
UUAUAUUCUCAGCAGGGGGGGAUGAGAACCCCCGACCGGGGUUCGACAACUGGCGCAGCCAGUUGGACAGACUGCGAGCCUGCGAGCGGGCUGCCCCGCAGGGGCGAGCGAAGCGAGUCAAUCCCCCCCUCACCGCCA